rnacentral:rRNA from 1 species
AGGACGAACGCUGGCGGCGUGCUUAACACAUGCAAGUCGAACGGUCUACCUCGACAGAAACCUUCGGGUUGAAGACGAGAUUUAGAUAGUGGCGGACGGGUGAGUAACACGUGAAUAAUCUGUCCUCAAGUCCGGGAUAACCUGGCGAAAGUCGGGCUAAUCCGGGGUAAGCUGAGAGUGCGGCAUCACACAAUCAGAAAAGGUGGCUCUGCCAUCGUUUGAGGAGGAGUUCGCGGUAGAUUAGCUAGCUGGUGAGGUAAUGGCUCACCAGGGCAACAAUCUAUAGCUGGUCUGAGAGGACGAUCAGUCACACUGGAACUGAGACACGGUCCAGACUCCUACGGGAGGCAGCAGUGGGGAAUCUUCCACAAUGGGCGCAAGCCUGAUGGAGCAACGCCGCGUGAGUGAAGAAGGUCUUAGGAUUGUAAAGCUCUGUCCUUAGGGAAGAACCGUGGGUAUAGCAAAUGAUACCCACCUGACGGUACCUUUGGAGGAAGCACUGGCUAACUACGUGCCAGCAGCCGCGGUAAUACGUAGAGUGCAAGCGUUGUCCGGAAUUAUUGGGCGUAAAGGGUACGCAGGCGGAUAAUCAAGUCAAGCGUGAAAGGUGUCGGCUUAACCGACAGACUGCGUUUGAAACUGAUUAUCUUGAGUGUAACAGAGGAGAGUGGAAUUCCUAGUGUAGUGGUGAAAUACGUAGAUAUUAGGAAGAACACCAGUGGCGAAGGCGACUCUCUGGGUUAACACUGACGCUAAGGUACGAAAGCUGGGGGAGCGAACGGGAUUAGAUACCCGGUANGUCCCAGCCGUAAACGAUGGAUACUAGGU